GGAAGUCUGGUGCCAGCAGCCGCGGUAAUUCCAGCUCCAAUAGCGUAUAUUAAAGUUGUUGCAGUUAAAAAGCUCGUAGUUGAAUUUCGGGAUCAAUAUUUCGGUCAUGCCGUUGGUAUGCACUGUUAUCAUUGAUUUCUCUCCUUCUAAAGAACCAUAAUGCCAUUAAUUUGGUGUUACGGGGAAUUAGGACUGUUACCUUGAAAAAAUUAGAGUGUUUAAAGCAGGCUCACGCUUGAAUACAUUAGCAUGGAAUAAUGAAAUAGGACAUCCGAUUCUAUUUUGUUGGUUUCUAGGAUCGAUGUAAUGAUUAAUAGGGAUAGUUGGGGGCAUUAGUAUUCAAUUGUCAGAGGUGAAAUUCUUGGAUUUAUUGAAGACUAACUACUGCGAAAGCAUUUGCCAAGGAUGUUUUCAUUAAUCAAGAACGAAAGUUAGGGGAUCGAAGACGAUCAGAUACCGUCGUAGUCUUAACCAUAAACUAUGCCGACUAGGGAUCGGAUGAUGUUAAUUUUUUAAUGACUCAUUCGGCGCCUUACGGGAAAC
rnacentral:rRNA from 1 species